rnacentral:lncRNA from 1 species
ACACAUACAGCCACAAAGCAAGACCUAGGAGAAAUAUUUGGUGCUCUACUCUCCUAGGGAACUGGAAGGAACCUGCUCUCUCCUGGGUAUACUUUUCUAAUUUUAGAGUGCUAAAGAAGCUCUUCUCACAGGGACCCGAGUGAAUCCUUUCUCCUUGGAACAAAGGACAAGAAAAAAAGAAAGGACUUUACCGCAGAAAUGAUGAAGAUCAUGUCUCCAAGUCUUUUCUGCCGUUGCCAGUAUUCUCUCCCAAUCUCCUGUGGGCAACUUCUUCGGGAAAACACUCAUGCAAUUUCAUAAGGACAAGCGAAAAUAUGAAGAAGCUGGAUCUUGGAACUAGGCUUUGAUCACAGAGCGGAGCUGAGAUGAAAGUCCAUCCACUCAUUCAACAAAUAAUUGAGUACUUACAAAAAUUUCUGCUAUGCCACAUUUUGUUGGAACUCAGAGUUAUGAGUGGCCCUCGCCAUACCUACACUUUCUGACUGAGCUCCUCUCUACCCUGAAUACAAGAGACCCUAAUAGGCAGGAAUAUCAUCACCCCUCUUCAGCCUGAAGAUGUUACAGAAGAUGGAUAUUUGUCCGUUUACAACCCUUAAGAUUAAGGGUUCCCCUGUAAAAGGGAGGGGGAAAAUAUGUCAGAGAUGUUUGAACCAGAGCAACUUCGUCCUGAAUAGUGGCUCGGUAAAGUGAGGCUGACACCUAUGGACUGCAUUCCCAGGAGGUUAGGCAUUCUUAGUUACGGGAUGAAAUAGGAGUUUGGCACAAGAUGGGUCAUAAAGACCUUGCUGAUAAAAGGAUGUGGUACAGAAGCUGGCCAAAACUCACCAAAAUCAAGAUGUGAUGAAAGUGACUUCUGGUAGUCCUCACUCCUCAUUACACUAAUUAUAAUGCAUUAGCAUGCUAAAAGACACGUUCACCAGCACCAUUAUGGUUUACAAAUGCCAUGGCAAUAUCAGCAAGUUACCCUAUAUGGUCUUAAAAGGGGAGGAACCCUCAGUUCUGGGAAUUGCCCACCACUUUCCCAGGAAACUCAUGAAUAAUCCACCCUUUAUUUAGCAAAUAAUCAAGAAAUAACUAUAAGUAUAAUCAGUUGAGCAGCCCAUGCCACUGCUCUGCCUGUGGAAUAGCCACUCUUUUAUUCCUUUACUUUUUUAAUAAACUUGUUUUCACUUUA